GGUCAAUCGAGCGAUCCUUUUGCAUCUUGGCCGCCAUGUCCCCCGCCGUCGACGACGCCCGCUGUGGCGAUCUCCGCCCUGGCGACCAGCUCUGCCUCGCCUGCCAAAUCAAAUCUACGAACUAAGGUUGAUUUCUAUGACUUCAGUUCGCUGGUGGUACUGGCAUAACGCUUAUGUUGCAGGCUUCUCCAGAAUGAUUCCUCAUAAGAGAUAUCUCAACCAGUCAUAAGUUAGCCUGAAGACAUAAGGUGCAGAUAUUCUUCCUUGGUAUAAGAGAUACUUUCAACUAAUCACACGUGCAAUGUUACAUUUGAGUAAGGGAUUACCAUGUUCUCUGAAUUUUCUACCCGACAGAUAUGUUCAACUAUAUUUAGAGUAUUCUGAUAAAGGGUUUACCCCCGCUUUAUAUUAUAGAGCAUCCGGAUAUUUAGAGUAUUAUACAUCUCUAAUCUGCAUAUUUGAGACCAACAUGAUAAUGUUCCAUACUUCUUAAGCCAUUUUGGUGCCACCUAUUGUACCAUCAUUUUUUGCUUCAGGUAUUGUCCUCAUUUCCAAACAAUUCCAUUGUCUUCGCUUCUCUACUCACAUGUGUUUUUUAGUCUUCCUCUCACUCUUUUGAGCUUCUACAGAACUGAUGUCUGACUGCUAUGUUUACCCUUCUGAAUAAUACCCUUGUCAAGUUUUCAGCUUUUAAUGUAAAACUGUAACCAAUUACCGAAAUUUUGGAGUUCUUUUUCACCUUUUCUUGUCCGGUUGUGGAUAAAAAAAACUUAUGCUGAAUCAUUGCGUCUCCAGACGAGCAGUGCAGAUUUGAGAGUUAGGUUAUUUGUCAAAAGUUUUCCGUUUUAUCCAUACAAUAGUAAAAUUAGUUUUACAUAAUUUGAAUGUGUGCUCGCAUGAGCUUGUAAACUUCUCUCGUGUGUCCACACAAGGGCGGAAGGAAGAUUCUUUCUGUGAAGAAACCUAUUUUGUAUGAAGUUGUAGUUGAUUUUGUCGGACUGGGAAGUGAUGGAUGCACCAAGUAGGUGGUCUUUAUUUCUGGGAUUAGAAUUUUCAAAAGGACUGUUUCUUCUCACCUUGAUCUUGUGAUCUAAUGAAAUUUAUUCCUGAUUUUUAUCAGGGACACAACAGUGAAGAUGUUUUUGAAUUUCGUGUUGUAGCUAAAUGGUGAAGUUUUCAUGAAUUCAUGUUAUGAAUUGGUUCUCACUUUUUUUAUCAUAACCUUUUAUUAUCUCAUGAUUUAUUGAUUUUUUUUGUUUUUUCUAUUGAUAUUUCUGUUUGCAAAACGAUUAUUAGAUAUUGGAGAAUUAACGAGGUAUGGCUACUGCCAAGCAUGCUUUCAGAAGUACACGAUUCAAGAGAUUUUCUAUUUUGGCAGAAGUUGGUGUGCCUACUGACAAGUGUGCUCUGAAAAUUAGUCAAUUACUGCACCAGCUGGACUUAUAGAUCGGUUCACAAGGUUCUUUCUGGACAGUAGUAAUGGUUUUAAUACAUUUAAAACAUGUAUGGUUAUUUGAUUCAUGAACAAAACAAAUAUAUUCUCUUUUGAGCUUUGGGCAUUUCACAUAUGACCAUUGUACUGUUGCACUAUUACUACGACCUAUGUGAAAGGUAAAUAAACCUUUCAGCAACAUAUGUUGGUAUAAUUCUCUCCCAACUAGCAUUAUAUGCCAUAUAUAGUUGUUUUUUUUUACCGAAAUGUUAGGAGCCUCGUGUAUAAGGUAUGCAGAAAUUCUCACUUUGGGGUAGUGAUUAAUUCUUCAUGUGCAGUAACCUGGAGAGAUGGUGCUGGUGGAUUCUAGCCGCAAGUCGAAGACAUGCAGUUGCUUGCCGUCGAUGAAGCAACAUCAACAUGGGUAGCUGAUCCAGUCAUCUGUUAGUCUGUUCGUCUUUCUUCCUUGCACUUUGUUCUUCAGUCAUGUGUUGGGCAUCCUUCCCCAUGCUACUGACUCUAUGGUGUCGCUGGCCCAUGCUUCUGACUCUCCAGACAUAUACUCACUUGUUAGAAAUCCCAUGGCAAUUGCUUUCAUGUGAAUUUUGGCCCUUGUCCAGAUGGAGGACUUGGCUUCUUCAGUGAGGAUAAUUCAAUACUGCACUUUGAUUCAAUAGAGUGCGAGCUUCAUUCGGGUUUAAGUGCGUUGCUGCUGGUCGCCUCUUGUGAUUGUGUACAGCUUGCUUCUGACAUAGCCAAGAUUAAAGGAGAGGGGAGUCAUUGCUGAUGGCUUGGAACUUUUUGGUGCAUCAUGCUAUGCGACUAAGGUCACCCUGACAGACACUUGGUGAGAUGUUUGAAGCUGCUCAUAGUAUCAUGACCUAGCUUGGAGACUGUGCCAAGGCUGAAGUUUUCUUUCUUGGGCAACUAAGGCAGAAGAACCUGGUGAAAUUGGUUGGGUAGUGCUACGAGCAUGAACACCGGAUGUUGGUGUACAAAUUCAUGAGCGUUGGGAGCCUUGAGACGCACCUCUUCAAAAGUGAGUUCUUCACUGCUUUCUGUCAAUUGAUCAUUCCAAGUAUUAGUAUGUUUGGUGGUUCCUGAGACCAGCAAGAUAAAGAAAAAUGUUACUCCCUCCAAUACAAAAUAAGUGUCGUGGUUUUAAUUAAAAUUUGAACUAAAACCAUGACACUUACUAUGGAUUUGUAAGAGUAAUUCAGAAUUCUGAGCACGUACGAGUGCCAUCUGGUCCAUUGAUGAUGAACUGUUCUUGUCCCCUGAACUUUCUUUUCCAUAAGUCACAAGUCAAGAGGAUAGCUGAGCUCUCUCUCCCUUCCAAAGGGACUACACUUUCUCUUUUUAAAAUCAGAUGAAUGUAAAUAUUCGAUAUUUACUAAAAAGGGAUACUGGAUAUUUUGGAUUGAAAAUUUACUUGUCCGACCAGCUUCUUGGUACUUGUAAGUUAGUACAACUCUUGGUCAAUGUGGAUGAGGAAACUGACCUGAAACAUCCUAUUUCCUUCACGUAUAAAUGGCUCCCUCCUGCGGAUGAUAAGGAUGAAGAUCGCCGUCAGCCCAAGGGCCUUAACUUUCUCCAUGACGCCAACCUGCCGGUGAUCUACAAGCAGGCCUUCAACAUCUACUGGACUAGCUGCAGGGUCAGUUUGAGCCUUCACGAGCUCGACAUCGGAGCCAGCACUCUACAUGCUUAUCGACGCGGUGGCCAUCGAGGUCAAACUUGUCCGGAAAUACUUGUCGGAGUAAUGGAUGUAUCUAUACGCAUUUUAGUUUUAGACACAUCCAUUUUUAUGCAUUUCUUCGACAUGUACUGUGAUUUGUGAAGACGUGCGUUGCACGUACACGCUAACUAGUCAAUGAAAAUGGCAAGUCUUUUGCCUUGUUUUAAAAAAACUAAA